UUAGAGCCUGACCCGGUGCAUAAGAAUCUCGCAGAGAAGACUGGGGUGAGCGACGGGGUAUCACAUGGCUCAUACUUUGGCGCGCUUUCUGCGUCUCUGAGAAUAGCUCCAUGACGUCACCAAAGAGGCCGGAGGGAGCAACUGGAACGUUUAGGAGCGGCCUACGGUCUGCGUCUUUCAGGACAGCUAGGGUAAGCCAUAGGUGCCUGUAAAGAUGACCAUGAGCUCCGUGAAACAGCUGAGCAGAGCGCUUAGUAGCAAUCAGCGCGAGAUCAGUUGCCGCGUGCAGAUCCUGAUGACGUCAGCGCUACUGUGCCGCCGUUUGCCUGAAACACCUUGAGUAUUGCCCUGGCAUGAAGAGCAGAAGCUGCAUCUCUGCUCUUUCUAGACUGUGGUCCGGACCAAAAGCAGAGGGAGACGAGCACAGGUGUGUGGUAACAGUCUCCUAGACGGGGGGGGGGAGGGUUUCCGUCCCGUCCACGUGCGUGAUAUGGCCUUCGUAGCAGAGUGGGUGCGCGCCGAUUGGGGUGCAGCCCACGCUUUCACCACGAGCUCUUGCAUGCCUAAAUGCCAUCUGGUAGCAGCUCGACUGGAGGAGCCACGAGUCUAGUUUACGGUGUACAUUUUAGGACAUCCUCAGAUCUCAGUCAUCAAAUGAAAAGGCGUCAUGCCUCAGACUAAAAGGCUUCAGUCAUCGGACAAAACGGCAUCGCGUCUCUGACUGAAAAGCUUCAGGUCUCAGGAAAAACGACGUCAGGUGUCAGGUCUCAUACAAUUAACGUUAGGCAUCAGACGAAACAGACUCAGAAAAAAAGUCAUCAGACGAAACGGACUCAGACAAAAAGUCAUCAAACGAAAAGGACUCAGGUGGAGAAUCGCGUUGCCCCGCCCCAUGUGACGUCACACGCACGCCGUUCACAGGAAGUAGUAAUGGUUGAUUGAUGGCAAAAGGAGUCAAUCAAGUUAUCGCUGACAUUUUCUGGGUAAGCGUGGCUAUGCUGAGCAGGACGAUUACCUGGAUUCACUACCCAUUUAGAUUUCCAGGCAACAAAUAAGCUCCUCCAUGCCAGAGAAUUACUGUUCGUUCAAUCAAAACCUGCAUGUCAUCCUGGACUGUACAGAAAUCUGCUGUGAAAGCCCUACAUCACUGAAACUCCACUCUGAAGUUAUAAGUGCACUACCACAUUCAAAGGUCUGGUUGGGGUAGCUCUGUGUGGUGCAGUGGAGAUGUGGUUAUGGCAGACAAGGGGUUCACUAUUGAAUAUAUGCUCUCCAGUAUUGGUGCUAGACGGAUCAUUCCACCUUUCAAAUGUGCCAAGCAGUUCAGCAAACAGGACUGUGAAAAAACACAGGACCACUGCACGCCUCAGACUUCUGGUGGAAAGAGUGAUUCGAAGGGUCAAGGAAAUACACAUCUGGGAUUCUGUUGUGCCACUCACCUUGUCAGGAAGAAUUAAUCAGAUCUGGCAUAAUUGCUGUUUUAUGGUUUAUUAUCAGGGACCAAUGUUUCUUGAGCAGUGAAUCUAUAUUAUUACAAUAGUAGUGUUACAGUGUUAACAUUUGAUAGUAGUUUUUUAUUUAUUACAUUUUUUUACCUUUUCAGUUAGUUGCAAUGCAUACCUACCACCAUUAAAUGUGUUUUUCCUUUUUUUAUUGUAAUGUAAAAUUGUAUAUUUUGUAUAAUGAAAUUAUUUAAAUAAAAUGUCCCUGAAAAUAAUUUCACAGACACAAUGAAA